CCGCCCGCAGGCCAGAAACCCUAGCCAUUUCCCUUCCGCCGCCCCUCCUCUCCGGCCUAGAUCCCGGCCAACUCCGGCGACCUGAUCCCGAUCCUUCCGCUUAUCCCGACGCCCAGCCCUGCCCUACCGGCUCACCCAGCUCCAGUCCACCACCACUCUCUCCCUCCUCCCUCCUCCGCCUACCCCCGCCCGCCUCCAGGGCCCGCCGAUUCGCUUCGGGAGCUCUCGAAUCCGGCGGCGCUCGCUGCGUGAAUGCGGCUGCCUCUCGGCGGCGCGGCGAGGCGUUGAUUGGGUGGGCCGCGCGCGCGAUGGGUUGCUUCUCCUGCUUCGAUUCCAGGUCCAACGACGAGCGCCGCUACCCCAAGCACGGUGGCAGCGGAGGCGGAGGAGGCGGAAAUGGCGUUGGCGCCGGCGGACGGGCCGGCGGCGUCGGCGUCAUCCUCAGCCGCCCGUGGUGCGUUCGCUUCCUCUCCGAUAGGGCCUUCUCCGUCGGUUGGUGCGGGCAGGAUCCGAAACCCACUCCCCACCCAACCAACCAAACCCUAACCCCUCCCCACCCACCAAAUCGGCGGCGCCGGCGCCGGAACAACGAAGCCACGGCCACCCAACUGCCGGCCUUCCUCGCCGGCGCGCAUCUGCAUCCGUGGGCGGAGCUCCAUCGACCCUCGCAUCGCAUCGCGCGCGCUCGCCGCACCCACCACAAGAUGCCUCCGGCCGGGGGCCCCUACCUUCUCCGCCUCCACCCCCACGACGCCCCACGCCGAGGGCAAGCCAACUCCACCCGCCCAGCCAUCCUCCGCGAUGCACCAGCCGCAUCAACCUCCGCGUCCACCUGCUGGACCUGCCACUACACGCAACACGGACGACCAUGGGGACGGCCUCGCCAUCCUGGGUAACAAAACCAAAGAGAGGUUCUUCCCUUGCUCUGCUCCCUCAGAUUCAUGAUUUCACAUGAUUCGAUUCCACCGAGGGGUAGCUGCUGCAAGCCUGCUUCGCUCUACGGUUUAUAUUUCGUUUGACACCCCGUGCACUUGGAUUUUGAACCAAUCCUUCCUUCCAAAUACAUCAUCCACUAUGCUCGAUUCUUCUUCACUCAUCAUCCUCCUACUACACAUAGGGAUCCCCUAUUCUUCUUCAGUACUAGUCCUAGCUACUAGUAACAUUGCCAGAUGCCAGAUGGGAGAUCCUUCCAAACACCUGCGACCCAUGCCUCUCUGGAUAGCUUUAUUGGUGCCACAGCCAUAGUGCCGAUUCUGUGCUAUAGAUAGCUUGAUUCAAAUUCAGCUCUCUUAGUAUUUUUUUUUAAAGUUCAGAUUUCCAUUAUAUGGUCUGUCUAGCUGAUCAUCGGGCACUGUUAUUAGUGUCUCUAUUCUUAGUCUGGCCUGAUGGUUUGACUUUUCAGCGGUUGCUUAUUAUUUGCUCAAAUUUCCUUGCUUGCUUAUUAGGCCUAACAAUAUUCUGAUAUGGGAAUAUGGGGACAUAUACAUGUGCAACACCCAUACAUUCUUAGUAUGCGUCACCUAUGAUUAGCUCUUUACUUCUCACCUUGCUGGAAUUACAUAUUGUUUCGUUUGGUGUCAUAUUUACUUGAACUCAUUGUUUUCAACUCACUCGUGUCAACCAUAGAACCUCAGGUUAGGAAAGAUGCAGCGCACAUGUUUCUGGUGUGGCGCCCGGGUUCACCGACGAAGACGAUUACGUCCACGGCAUGCUUGAUUCUGCUGAUACAUACUAGCACCGGGGCGAGGCUGACGACAAGAUCACCGCCAUCUGCGCUGACGACCUAGAGUACAGGCACUUCAACGACAUCAAGGAGCUCCCUCCCUACCGCCUCGCUGAGAUCAGGAGCUUCUUCGAGGACUGUAUCCUUCUUAUUGUUAAUAACUUCAUAUUCUGCUCGCUAACAUGCUGAUGUUGUAUCUUACUAAAUCGGUGUAACCUGCAAGUUGUUCUUAUGUACACGUAGCAGUAGUGCAAUAGUUAGUUUGAUGCACUAGAUGAAUUAGCUAAGUAUUAUUAUUCACUUGAAUUGGCUGAGCAUGGUCUUUGUUUAAUCCAGAAUCAGCGAGGUAAUAAUUCUUGAUGUUGCUAACUUUGUCUUCAUAAGAUCACUUCGCUAUCCAGAAUCAUUUGCCUUGUACUUUUGCUUAUCAACUCAUGCACCGUUAUUGCUGCUCCUGGUCACCGUGACUUCAUCAAGAACAUGAUCACUGGUACCUCCCAGGCUAUGUAUACCACCUGAAGUUACGUAUACCACCGGUAUUUGUUCCACAAGCAAAUUUGAUACCACCUGUGUGUUAUAGUAGUCUUUUAACUUUUAAACUUGUUGCAUGAUCUGGAUGCUAGUUAUUAAGUAGUCCCUGAAUUAUUUACUUUUGCUAAAUGAUUUCAAUGCUUGUUUCUAAAGAACAUGAUCUGCAUCUAGUGUUUCAUUUCGUUACUGUUACACAUGUCCUACUCUAAAUAGACUAGGCCUUCCGUUUUAAGUUGACUUAAUUGCACAGUUCUGCUAGUCUACUACUGUACAAUCCAUGCAGUUUCAGUUUUUUCUGCUAUUUAAUUCCUUCUAUUGUAUUAUAUGCCAUCUAUAAUAAGCAGCAACUUGUUUUACAUUUCUUCUCUUUAUUUACAUAAGCUUGUGCUUUCAUUUGUAUACAUGCCUUCUGUAAUAAGCGUUACAGGACCUUCUUUUGAAUAUGACAUGAUGUGAAGUUAAUUGAAAAUUAACUUCUUUAUUUACCAACUCUCUGAUUGUUCUGUCUUGCUGUGCAGAAGAGUUUGCUGUGUACGUUCCUUGAUGCUUAUUUUACUUGGGUUGACCUGAAGCGCUGUUUCUGGGUGGUGUAGGAUGAGUUGCUGCGGAACAACCUGUAGGUGGAGAGCCUGAAGAUAACUCGUGCAACAUCAUUGUCUGGCAAGAUGCAUGCUGGAGAACCUGAAGACAACUCUAAUGAAAUUUUAUGUUUAUAUUGUAAUAACGAGCAUGACUGAGUUUUAUUGCUCCAAGUCACUGUGAUGAAAGUUUUAUGUUCAUACUAAUAACGAGCUUGACUAGUUCUUGUUGCUGAAAUGUAAUUGAUUGAUUUGCUAAGUUUUA